GGAGCUUGCUCCACCGGAAAAGGAGGAGUGGCGAACGGGUGAGUAACACGUGGGUAACCUGCCCAUCAGAAGGGGAUAACACUUGGAAACAGGUGCUAAUACCGUAUAACAAUCAAAACCGCAUGGUUUUGAUUUGAAAGGCGCUUUCGGGUGUCGCUGAUGGAUGGACCCGCGGUGCAUUAGCUAGUUGGUGAGGUAACGGCUCACCAAGGCCACGAUGCAUAGCCGACCUGAGAGGGUGAUCGGCCACAUUGGGACUGAGACACGGCCUAAACUCCUACGGGAGGCAGCAGUAGGGAAUCUUCGGCAAUGGACGAAAGUCUGACCGAGCAACGCCGCGUGAGUGAAGAAGGUUUUCGGAUCGUAAAACUCUGUUGUUAGAGAAGAACAAGGAUGAGAGUAACUGUUCACCCCUUGACGGUAUCUAACCAGAAAGCCACGGCUAACUACGUGCCAGCAGCCGCGGUAAUACGUAGGUGGCAAGCGUUGUCCGGAUUUAUUGGGCGUAAAGCGAGCGCAGGCGGUUUCUUAAGUCUGAUGUGAAAGCCCCCGGCUCAACCGGGGAGGGUCAUUGGAAACUGGGAGACUUGAGUGCAGAAGAGGAGAGUGGAAUUCCAUGUGUAGCGGUGAAAUGCGUAGAUAUAUGGAGGAACACCAGUGGCGAAGGCGGCUCUCUGGUCU
rnacentral:rRNA from 1 species